rnacentral:tRNA from 1 species
CCGACGAUAGCUCAGCUGGUAAAGCGGAGGACUGUAGUGAAUGACAGAUAUCCUUAGGUCGGUGGUUCAAAUCCGCCUCGUCGGA